AAUUGCCCUUAGUAACGGCGAGUGAAGCGGCAAAAGCUCAAAUUUGAAAUCGGCCAUCAGGUCGAGUUGUAAUUUGUAGAUUGUACUUUGAGAGCGGAUUAAAGUCUGUUGGAACACAGCGCCUUAGAGGGUGACAGCCCCGUAAAAUCUAUUCUCAUUGUAAGGUACUUUCGAAGAGUCGAGUUGUUUGGGAAUGCAGCUCUAAGUGGGAGGUAAAUUCCUUCUAAAGCUAAAUAUUGACGAGAGACCGAUAGCGAACAAGUACUGUGAAGGAAAGAUGAAAAGCACUUUGAAAAGAGAGUGAAAAAGUACGUGAAAUUGUUAAAAGGGAAGGGUAUUGAAUCAGACGUGGUGCUGUUGUUCAACUUUGUUUCGGCAUGGUGUACUCAGCAGUACUAGGCCAAGGUGGGGUGUUUGGGAGUGAAAAAGGAAUAGGAACGUAGCUCUUCGGAGUGUUAUAAUCUAUUUUCAUAGCUCCUCAGGCGCCUCAGGACUGCGCUUCGGCAAGGACUUUGGCAUAAUGAUUCUAUACCGCCCGUCUUGAAACACGGAACCAAUGCAA
rnacentral:rRNA from 1 species